rnacentral:rRNA from 1 species
UACAGAGGGUGCAAGCGUUAAUCGGAAUUACUGGGCGUAAAGCGUGCGUAGACGGUUGCGUAAGUCAGAUGUGAAAGCCCCGGGCUCAACCUGGGAAUUGCAUUUGAGACUGCGUAGCUAGGGUGCGGAAGAGGGAAGCGGAAUUUCCGGUGUAGCGGUGAAAUGCGUAGAUAUCGGAAGGAACACCAGUGGCGAAAGCGGCUUCCUGGUCUAGCACCGACGUUCAGGCACGAAAGCGUGGGGAGCAAACAGG